rnacentral:rRNA from 1 species
GACGAACGCUGGAGGCGUGCUUAACACAUGCAAGUCGAACGAUGAAAUGGAGCUUGCUCCAUGGAUUAGUGGCGAACGGGUGAGUAACACGUGAAUAACCUGCCCUUAAUUUUGGAAUAACCCAGGGAAACCUGGGCUAAUACCGGAUAAGUAAACCUGUGGCAUCACAUGGUUUUGGAAAGUUUUUCGAUUAAGGAUGGAUUCGCGGCCUAUCAGCUUGUUGGUGAGGUAAUGGCUCACCAAGGCGACGACGGGUAGCCGGCCUGAGAGGGGGAAGGGCACAACUGGGACGGCGACACGGCCCAGGCUCCUACGGGGGGCAGCAGUGGGGAAGAUUGCGCAAUGGGCGAGAGUCUGACGCAGCGACGCCUCGAGAGGGACGAAGGUCUUCGGUUUGUAAACCUCUUUCAGCAGGGACGAAGCGAAAGUGACGGUACCUGCAGAAGAAGCACCGGCUAACUAUGUGCCAGCAGCCGCCGUAA